GACGAACGCGGGCGGCGUGCCUAAUGCAUGCAAGUCGAGCGAAGUUUUUCUGGUGCUUGCACCGGAAAAACUUAGCGGCGAACGGGUGAGUAACACGUAAAGAACCUGCCUCAUAGACUGGGACAACUAUUGGAAACGAUAGCUAAUACCGGAUAACAGCAUUAACUGCAUGGUUGAUGUUUAAAAGUUGGUUUUGCUAACACUAUGAGAUGGCUUUGCGGUGCAUAAGCUAGUUGGUGGGGUAAAGGCCUACCAAGGCGACGAUGCAUAGCCGACCUGAGAGGGUGAUCGGCCACACUGGGACUGAGACACGGCCCAGACUCCUACGGGAGGCAGCAGUAGGGAAUCUUCCGCAAUGGGCGAAAGCCUGACGGAGCAACGCCGCGUGAGUGAAGAAGGAUUUCGGUUCGUAAAGCUCUGUUGUUAGGGAAGAAUGAUUGUGUAGUAACUAUACACAGUAGAGACG
rnacentral:rRNA from 1 species